CCCGCGUUGGAUUAGCUAGUUGGCAGGGUAACGGCCUACCAAGGCGACGAUCCAUAGCCGGCCUGAGAGGGUGAACGGCCACAUUGGGACUGAGACACGGCCCAGACUCCUACGGGAGGCAGCAGUGGGGAAUAUUGCACAAUGGGGGAAACCCUGAUGCAGCGACGCCGCGUGGAGGAAGAAGGUCUUCGGAUUGUAAACUCCUGUUGUUGAGGAAGAUAAUGACGGUACUCAACAAGGAAGUGACGGCUAACUACGUGCCAGCAGCCGCGGUAAAACGUAGGUCACAAGCGUUGUCCGGAAUUACUGGGUGUAAAGGGAGCGCAGGCGGGAAGACAAGUUGGAAGUGAAAUCUAUGGGCUCAACCCAUAAACUGCUUUCAAAACUGUUUUUCUUGAGUAGUGCAGAGGUAGGCGGAAUUCCCGGUGUAGCGGUGGAAUGCGUAGAUAUCGGGAGGAACACCAGUGGCGAAGGCGGCCUACUGGGCACCAACUGACGCUGAGGCUCGAAAGUGUGGGUAGCAAACAGGAUUAGAUACCCUGGUAGUCCACACUGUAAACGAUGAUUACUAGGUGUUGGAGGAUUGACCCCUUCAGUGCCGCAGUUAACACAAUAAGUAAUCCACCUGGGGAGUACGACCGCAAGGUUGAAACUCAAAGGAAUUGACGGGGGCCCGCACAAGCAGUGGAGUAUGUGGUUUAAUUCGAAGCAACGCGAAGAACCUUACCAGGUCUUGACAUCCUACUAACGAGAUAGAGAUAUGUUAGGUGCCCUUCGGGGAAAGUAGAGACAGGUGGUGCAUGGUUGUCGUCAGCUCGUGUCGUGAGAUGUUGGGUUAAGUCCCGCAACGAGCGCAACCCUUAUGGUCAGUUACUACGCAAGAGGACUCUGGCCAGACUGCCGUUGACAAAACGGAGGAAGGUGGGGAUGACGUCAAAUCAUCAUGCCCUUUAUGACUUGGGCUACACACGUACUACAAUGGCGUUAAACAAAGAGAAGCAAGACCGCGAGGUGGAGCAAAACUCAGAAACAACGUCCCAGUUCGGACUGCAGGCUGCAACUCGCCUGCACGAAGUCGGAAUUGCUAGUAAUCGCAGAUCAGCAUGCUGCGGUGAAUACGUUCCCGGGCCUUGUACACACCGCCCGUCACACCAUGAGAGCCGGGGGGACCCGAAGUCGGUAGUCUAACCGCAAGGAGGACGCCGCCGAAGGUAAAACUGGUGAUUGGGGUGAAGUCGUAACAAGGUAGCCGUAGGAGAACCUGCGGCUG
rnacentral:rRNA from 1 species